rnacentral:rRNA from 1 species
CCAACAGGGAUUGCCCCAGUAACGGCGAGUGAAGCGGCAAAAGCUCAAAUUUGAAAUCCUGCGGGAAUUGUAAUUUGAAGGUUUCGUGGUCUGAGUCGGCCGCGCCCAAGUCCAUUGGAACAUGGCGCCUGGGAGGGUGAGAGCCCCGUAUGGCGCACGCCGACUCUUUGUACACCGCGGCUCCGACGAGUCGAGUUGUUUGGGAAUGCAGCUCUAAGUGGGUGGUAAAUUCCAUCUAAAGCUAAAUAUUGGCGAGAGACCGAUAGCGAACAAGUACAGUGAUGGAAAGAUGAAAAGCACUUUGAAAAGAGAGUGAAACAGCACGUGAAAUUGUUGAAAGGGAAGGGCUUGCAAGCAGACACGGUUUUACCGGGCCAGCGUCGAAAAGGGGGGAGGAACAAGAACUCGAGAAUGUGGCGCGCACCUUCGGGCGCGCGUGUUAUAGCUCGUGUUGACGCCUCCAUCCCUUUUCGAGGCCUGCGAUUCUAGGACGCUGGCGUAAUGGUUGCAAGCCGCCCGUCUUGAAACACGGAC